rnacentral:rRNA from 1 species
UGUGCCCUACGGGAGGCAGCAGUCGAGAAUCAUUCACAAUGGGGGAAACCCUGAUGGUGCGACGCCGCGUGGGGGAAUGAAGGUCUUCGGAUUGUAAACCCCUGUCAUGUGGGAGCAAAUUAAAAAGAUAGUACCACAAGAGGAAGAGACGGCUAACUCUGUGCCAGCAGCCGCGGUAAUACAGAGGUCUCAAGCGUUGUUCGGAAUCACUGGGCGUAAAGAGUGAGUAGGCUGUUUCGUAAGUCGUGUGUGAUA